GACCCAGUGGCGGAUGGUCCGCGCCCGCGUCGUAUGUUGGCGAUAUGAUAGAUAAAGCGGAAGGCCUUGGUUCGAAUCCAGGCUGGGUCA